rnacentral:rRNA from 1 species
AUUGAACGCUGGCGGCAUGCCUUACACAUGCAAGUCGAACGGUAACGGGCCUUCGGGUGCCGACGAGUGGCGCACGGGUGAGUAAUACAUCGGAACGUGCCCGAUCGUGGGGGAUAACGAGGCGAAAGCUUUGCUAAUACCGCAUACGAUCUACGGAUGAAAGCAGGGGACCGCAAGGCCUUGCGCGGACGGAGCGGCCGCUGGCAGAUUAGGUAGUUGGUGGGAUAAAAGCUUACCAAGCCGACGAUCUGUAGCUGGUCUGAGAGGAUGAUCAGCCACACUGGGACUGAGACACGGCCCAGACUCCUACGGGAGGCAGCAGUGGGGAAUUUUGGACAAUGGGCGCAAGCCUGAUCCAGCCAUGCCGCGUGCAGGAUGAAGGCCUUCGGGUUGUAAACUGCUUUUGUACGGAACGAAAAGCCUUCUUUUAAUACAGGAGGGUCAUGACGGUACCGUAAGAAUAAGCACCGGCUAACUACGUG